rnacentral:rRNA from 1 species
GACGAACGCUGGCGGCGUGCUUAACACAUGCAAGUCGAACGGAAAGGCCCUGCUUUUGUGGGGUGCUCGAGUGGCGAACGGGUGAGUAACACGUGAGUAACCUGCCCUUGACUUUGGGAUAACUUCAGGAAACUGGGGCUAAUACCGGAUAGGAGCUCCUGCUGCAUGGUGGGGGUUGGAAAGUUUCGGCGGUUGGGGAUGGACUCGCGGCUUAUCAGCUUGUUGGUGGGGUAGUGGCUUACCAAGGCUUUGACGGGUAGCCGGCGUGAGAGGGUGACCGGCCACAUUGGGACUGAGAGACGGCCCAGACGCCUACGUGAGGCAGCAGUGGGGAAUAUUGCACAGUGGGCGGAAGCCUGAGGCAGCAACGCCGCGUGCGGGAUGACGGCCUUCGGGUUGUAAACCACUUUCGCCUGUAACGAAGCGGGAGUGACGGUAAUUAGUAAAGAAGCACCGGCUAACUACGUG